rnacentral:rRNA from 1 species
AUUGAACGCUGGCGGCAGGCUUAACACAUGCAAGUCGAGCGGAGAUGAGGUGCUUGCACCUUAUCUUAGCGGCGGACGGGUGAGUAAUGCUUAGGAAUCUGCCUAUUAGUGGGGGACAACAUUCCGAAAGGAAUGCUAAUACCGCAUACGUCCUACGGGAGAAAGCAGGGGAUCUUCGGACCUUGCGCUAAUAGAUGAGCCUAAGUCGGAUUAGCUAGUUGGUGGGGUAAAGGCCUACCAAGGCGACGAUCUGUAGCGGGUCUGAGAGGAUGAUCCGCCACACUGGGACGGAGACACGGCCCAGACUCCUACGGGGGACAGCAGUGGGGAAUAUUGGACAAUGGGGGGAACCCUGAUCCAGCCAUGCCGCGUGUGUGAAGAAGGCCUUAUGGUUGUAAAGCACUUUAAGCGAGGAGGAGGCUACUGAGACUAAUACUCUUGGAUAGUGGACGUUACUCGCAGAAUAAGCACCGGCUAACUCUGUGCCAGCCGCCGCAGUAACAC